rnacentral:tRNA from 1 species
AUUUAUAUAGUUUAACAAAAACAUUGCAUUUUCAUUGCAAAAUUAAAAUAAUUUUUGUAAAUU